rnacentral:tRNA from 1 species
AAAGAAUUAGUUAAAUAAUAAUAAUAAAAUGUCAUUUUAUAGUUAAUAAUAAUUAUUAUUCUUUU